UAGAAGGGAGAAAGAAGUCAAAAAAACCAUUGCGCAUAUUUGACGACUGUUUUCUCACACUCCUUUCAGGUCCACCUAAAUGCUUACCCAUUUCUUUCUCCAGACUCCAGCAUAUAUUCACACACAGUUGCAGAGAUUUCAAUCACACUCAACCCAAUAGGAUCUAAAAGUAACAGGGUUAACAAUCAUUCUACAUUGGAGUGAUAUUUAGCUUAAAAUCGUCAGUGGAAGCCAUGACCAGAUCGUAAGGUUGGAUACUCUACACUCUUCAGUGUCUUUACCAGCACAUCUCUUGCACCGAGACCUUAUAUUAUGCUUAAGGGCUUAAGCCACUUUGAGGGUUGGGACAAAAAUUUGUGUUCCUUUUCAACCUUUUACUGGAAUUGUAAUGCUUAUUCUAUAUUUCUUAGAGUUCACAAUGGAGAAUUGGUCUCAUUAGCUUGGAUUAGGGAAGUCAAUAUAAGUAAAGUGGUGGAAUAACUUGCAUACUUUUUGAAAUAAAAGCCUCGACUGGUUCGAUGGGCAAGGAAAAUUUAUCAGAAGCUGAGGUUGGAGUCAGUGAGGAAGGUGGCUCACCUAGACAGAGUGAUUGUCUAGGGACUCUCCCACGCCAUAGUCUUGACAAGGAUGCCGGACUGCCAACUUGUCGUGUGUGCCAUUGCGCUGAAUCUGACAAAAGGGGAGAUGCAGCAUUAGAGUUCUUGGGCAUCACUCCUCCUUUACAAGAAGCAUGCAUAAGCCACAGGGAAGUAAAUCCUGACAGCAAUAUAGCCCUGAAAGAUGCUGAAAGUCAUAGUUCUGUCAAGAAAAAUGUUGGAAAUGAACCUAGGUUUUUGGAGUUUAUAGGCCCUGAUGGAGAAGUUUUCAUUUGUAGUGCUGAUUUAGAAAUGGGUUCAUGUCAGCAUCAAGACACUUUACUGGAGCUUGGUUGCUCUUGCAAAAAUGACCUUGCUCUAGUACACUAUUCAUGCGCACUCAAAUGGUUUAUCAACCAUGGAUCCACUGUCUGUGAAAUCUGUGGACGUGUUUCGAAGAAUAUCAGAGCUACAGAUUUCAAAAAGGUUCUUCUUUCAUUGAAAGAGUAUGAAUCAUUAAGGGAAAGAACUGCUAGUGGGCAAACUGAUCCGCCACAUGCCAAUACAAGUAUAGGCGUAGAUCCGGAUGCUGUAGCUGCUAUUCGAAGGCAACGGCUGAGUGAGAUUUCCCUGUGGUUCAGUCCACAUAAUAAUGGUAACGGUAACAAUAAUACAAAUGGCAAUUCUGUUGCACUUUCACAAGUUGCAUCAGAAGAACCUCAGAAUACUGCGGUUGUCCCUGCUGAAAAUGUUGCAACCAAAUGGGCUAUGGAAGCUACUGCUAUUCUGCUUGCCACAGGGCUGCUUACCGUCACUGUAGUGUGGCUUUUAGCUCCUCAUGUUGGGAAGAAAACUGCCAAAAGUGGUCUUCAUAUUCUCCUGGGAGGAAUUUGUGCUUUAACAGUUGUGGUUUUCUUUCGAUUUGGAUAAUUAAGAGAGUAAAGUGGAGGAGUUAGCAGUGGUGCUGGAAUGUGACAUGGGACACUGGUCUUUAGAGUAUAUAGGGUUGCCUCUUGGUGGUUAACCCCAAGCUAUAAGUCUUUGGCAUACAGUGGUGGAAAGAGUAGAAAGGAGAUUAAAAGGAAUGGAGUAAAACUUUCCUAUCAAGAGGGGGAUGAUUGACUGGAUUGAAUCUGUUUUAAGCAAUCUGGCAAUCCGCUUUACAUCUCUUUUUUGCAUUUCUGUAGUUGUGGCUAGAAGAGUCGUGUAAGUUAUGGCCAAUACCAGGUAUAUAAGCAGUUUUUUGUUGGAGGGUGUGUGUUGGAGGGGAAACAGGGUCAUUUAGUCAAGUGGGAUGUGACUUUCUCAAGCCAAGGGAAAAGAGGUGUCAGUGCAGGAAGCUUUAUUAAAGAAGAAUGAAGUUCUACUUGGAAAGUGGCUUUGGCUCUUUAGUGAUAAGAGGAUGCCCUCUGGUAUGCUGUCAUCAGAAGCAAGUACUACAUGAAAAUGGUUGGGAUUCCAAUUUUGAUAAGAGAGUAAGCUAUCAGAGGAGACACCCUUCUUGGUGCCUGUCUGGACGUUGUUGUAUGAUGUUUAAUGAUGCUGCUUAGACUGUAAAGCAUGUUCUCCUUCAUUCCUCAAUUGCAAUGAGCUUAUGCAGAAAUUAUUUAUUGAGGCUAAUUUCAGAUGGGAUGCUCCAGCUUCUUGCAAGGCCUUAUUGUGUUUGAGGUAUAAAUUCUUUGGAGGAAAGAUGAAAGGAAUGGUGUUGGGAGGUUGUGCUAUAUUAGCAAUCAUUUGGGUGGUGCGCAUGCACAGGAAUAAGAGUCUUUAAGGGAGCUGGGGAUGAGAAGAUAGAACACUUUAUAGAGUUCGAUACGUGGCUUUGCUCCAAGGCAUCAGUUUCUCAUUGGAUUGGGAAGUUAUGCUUCUGUUUUAGUUUGUGCUCACAAGAAUCAAGUAUGGACCGGCACGUUACUGGGCAAUAUUGUUUGUCUUUUGGUUUCUCGUAUUUGGAAUUUGGGCUUCACGCACACAUGGCGCGCACAAAACAUAAUUCUGUUGUAUGCUA